UACGGAGGAUGCGAGCGUUAUCCGGAUUUAUUGGGUUUAAAGGGUGCGUAGGCUGUCGGAUAAGUUAGAGGUCAAAUGUCGGGGCUUAACCCCGUGCCUGCCUCUGAUACUGUUCGACUGGAGAGCGGAUGCAGCAGGCGGAAUGAGUAGUGUAGCGGUGAAAUGCAUAGAUAUCACGCAGAACUCCGAUUGCGAAGGCAGCAUACCGGCGCCCUACUGACGCUGAGGCACGAAAGCGUGGGGAGCAAACAGG
rnacentral:rRNA from 1 species